rnacentral:rRNA from 1 species
GAUGAACGCUGGCGGCGUGCCUAAUACAUGCAAGUCGAGCGAACAGAUGAGGAGCUUGCUUCUCUGACGUUAGCGGCGGACGGGUGAGUAACACGUGGAUAACCUACCUAUAAGACUGGGAUAACUUCGGGAAACCGGAGCUAAUACCGGAUAAUAUUUUGAACCGCAUGGUUCAAAAGUGAAAGACGGUUUUGCUGUCACUUAUAGAUGGAUCCGCGCUGCAUUAGCUAGUUGGUAAGGUAACGGCUUACCAAGGCAACGAUGCGUAGCCGACCUGAGAGGGUGAUCGGCCACACUGGAACUGAGACACGGUCCAGACUCCUACGGGAGGCAGCAGUAGGGAAUCUUCCGCAAUGGGCGAAAGCCUGACGGAGCAACGCCGCGUGAGUGAUGAAGGUCUUCGGAUCGUAAAACUCUGUUAUUAGGGAAGAACAAAUGUGUAAGUAACUAUGCACGUCUUGACGGUACCUAAUCAGAAAGCCACGGCUAACUACGUG